rnacentral:rRNA from 1 species
GACUGGGUCUAAUGCCUGAAUUAGAGAUCCUAUUCCAUUGAGGUGAAGCUUAUUGGCCUCCGAUGGACUGCGGCCUUUCAGCUGUUGGUGAGGGUAAUGCUCACCAAGGCGACGACGUUAGGCUACUGAGAAGGGUGACACCCCACUGGAACUGAGACACGGCCCAGACUCCUACGGGAGGCAGCAGUGGGGGAAUAUUGCACCAAUGGCGCAAGCUGAUGCAGCGACGCGCGUGAGGGAUGACGCUUCGGGUUGUAAACCUCUUUCAGUAGGGAAGAAGCGAAAGUGACGGUACUGCAGAAAGAAGCGCCGGCUAACUACGUGCCAGCAGCCGCGGUAAUACGUAGGGCGCAAGCGUUAUCCGGGAAUUAUUGGGCGUAAAGAGCUCGUAGGCGGUUUGUCGCGUCUGCCGUGAAAGUCCGGGGCUCAACUCCGGGAUCUGCGGUGGGUACGGGCAGACUAGAGUGAUGUAGGGGAGACUGGAAUUCCUGGUGUAGCGGUGAAAUGCGCAGAUAUCAGGAGGAACACCGAUGGCGAAGGCAGGUCUCUGGGCAUUAACUGACGCUGAGGAGCGAAAGCAUGGGGAGCGAACAGGAUUAGAUACCCUGGUAGUCCAUGCCGUAAACGUUGGGCACUAGGUGUGGGGGACAUUCCACGUUUUCCGCGCCGUAGCUAACGCAUUAAGUGCCCCGCCUGGGGAGUACGGCCGCAAGGCUAAAACUCAAAGGAAUUGACGGGGGCCCGCACAAGCGGCGGAGCAUGCGGAUUAAUUCGAUGCAACGCGAAGAACCUUACCAAGGCUUGACAUGGGCCGGAUCGCCGCAGAAAUGUGGUUUCCCCUUUGGGGCCGGUUCACAGGUGGUGCAUGGUUGUCGUCAGCUCGUGUCGUGAGAUGUUGGGUUAAGUCCCGCAACGAGCGCAACCCUCGUUCUAUGUUGCCAGCGCGUUAUGGCGGGGACUCAUAGGAGACUGCCGGGGUCAACUCGGAGGAAGGUGGGGACGACGUCAAAUCAUCAUGCCCCUUAUGUCUUGGGCUUCACGCAUGCUACAAUGGCCGGUACAAAGGGUUGCGAUACUGUGAGGUGGAGCUAAUCCCAAAAAGCCGGUCUCAGUUCGGAUUGGGGUCUGCAACUCGACCCCAUGAAGUCGGAGUCGCUAGUAAUCGCAGAUCAGCUCGCGACUGU